rnacentral:ncRNA from 1 species
UGAGUAGAGGUGCGGUUUCCAAGAGUACCCCACAGGAUAACUUAGAUUAGAUGAUUGUGGGCAAAAGGGGAGGUCGCCGAAGGGUAUGUUUGACUAAGCAUAUGUACCCUGGUUUUGCAGUUAAGAGCUGCACGACUGUCAUCGUUAUUAUACGUAUGGAGCGCUACUUU